rnacentral:tRNA from 1 species
GCCGGAGUGAUGGAAUUGGCAGACGUGCUGGACUCAAAAUCCAGUCCUAGCGAUAGGGUGCGGGUUCAAGUCCCGCCUCCGGCACCA